UUUUCUAACUAAAUACUAUAACCCAAUACUUGAAUAGUCUCUUACAAUGAUGGAUAUGAAAGAAUAUUGACACUCUUUUAAGUAUUUUUAUUCUUUGACGUUUAAAUCGAUCAAAAUGUUCAAGGAAGUAUCAAAGAAAUGUAUAGUGAAUCUUCCUUUUUAAUAUUAAAGACAAAGUGUUAUAAAUCCUCGAAUCCAAUUUCUUGACUUUAUAGCUCUUCUUAUUUGCUUUUUAUAUAUGUGCUUGAAUAAAUUGACUUUAAAAUCAAGAAAAUAAGGCAAUAGUGAAUCAUGCAACAGAAUGUAUAUAUCUGAAUUGACAUUAAAAAGCAAUUGUUUUUUUUUCUUAUUUAAACAGAUCAUUUACAUAUUUGUUUUAUAAAUUCUAAUUCAUGACUUGAUUGUUUUUAGGGUUCCUCUCAACAAAAUUUUUAUAUAUAUAUAUAACUUUCGCUAAAGAGAGGAACAGAAAUAAAGUACUUAAAAGAGACUUAAAUCACGUCGCAUGGCUUAAACGACUUUAAAGUAUACUCUUGAUCGUUGUUGUUUCGUUCCACUACAAGUAACAAUGCUUCAUAACUACAACAUUAUACGGUGAGGGAUAGAAAAUUUAGAAGGAAGAGAACACUUAAAAUACUUCAACUAUAGCAAGAAAUCGUUUCAUUUGCGAUGUCAUUAAACAAAUCCGACAUUCAACGGCUUAUAUUUAAUUAUUUUACAAUUUGGAUGCACGGAAACUGCUACCGGAUGCUACAUAAUUCUAGUGCCAACACCAACAACGAAUAAGAAAAUAUUCUCACCCAAGGAGGUAGAUUGCUGUAACAAUGCCAGCGAUAAUCAUGCCAAUAACCAAAAGGGAGAAUAUGAUACUUCGCCAAUUGUGACCACUUUCGCCAUACGUGAGAUCCUG